rnacentral:rRNA from 1 species
AACGACUCUCGGCAACGGAUAUCUCGGNACGUAGCGAAAUGCGAUACUUGGUGUGAAUUGCAGAAUCCCGUGACCCAUCGAGUCUUUGAACGCAAGUUGCGCCCCAAGCCUUCUGGCCGAGGGCACGUCUGCCUGGGUGUCACA